UACGGGGGGGCAAGCGUUGUUCGGAAUUACUGGGCGUAAAGGGCUCGUAGGCGGCCAACUAAGUCAGACGUGAAAUCCCUCGGCUUAACCGGGAACUGCGUCUGAUACUGGAUGGCUUGAGGUUGGGAGAGGGAUGCGGAAUUCCAGGUGUAGCGGUGAAAUGCGUAGAUAUCUGGAGGAACACCGGUGGCGAAGGCGGCAUCCUGGACCAAUUCUGACGCUGAGGAGCGAAGCCAGGGAGCAAACGGG
rnacentral:rRNA from 1 species